rnacentral:rRNA from 1 species
GUGGGGAAUAUUGGGCAAUGGGGGAAACCCUGACCCAGCAACGCCGCGUGAAGGAAGAAGGUUUUCGGAUCGUAAACUUCUAUCCUUGGUGAAGAUAAUGACGGUAGCCAAGAAGGAAGCCCCGGCUAACUACGUGCCAGCAGCCGCGGUAAUACGUAGGGGGCAAGCGUUGUCCGGAAUGCUUGGGCGUAAAGGGCGCGUAGGCGGCCUGGUAAGUCUGGAGUGAAAGUCCUGCUUUUAAGGUGGGAAUUGCUUUGGAUACUGUCGGGCUUGAGUGCAGGAGAGGUAAGCGGAAUUCCCGGUGUAGCGGUGAAAUGCGUAGAGAUCGGGAGGAACACCAGUGGCGAAGGCGGCUUACUGGACUGUAACUGACGCUGAGGCGCGAAAGUGUGGGGAGCAAACAGGAUUAGAAACCCUGGUAGUCC